GGCCCUUCGGGGUNCUCGAGUGGCGAACGGGUGAGUAACACGUGGGUGAUCUGCCCUGCACUUUGGGAUAAGCCUGGGAAACUGGGUCUAAUACCGGAUAGGACUACGGCCUGCAUGGGUUGUGGUGGAAAGCUUUUGCGGUGUGGGAUGGGCCCGCGGCCUAUCAGCUUGUUGGUGGGGUGAUGGCCUACCAAGGCGACGACGGGUAGCCGGCCUGAGAGGGUGUCCGGCCACACUGGGACUGAGAUACGGCCCAGACUCCUACGGGAGGCAGCAGUGGGGAAUAUUGCACAAUGGGCGCAAGCCUGAUGCAGCGACGCCGCGUGGGGGAUGACGGCCUUCGGGUUGUAAACCUCUUUCAGUACAGACGAAGCGCAAGUGACGGUAUGUACAGAAGAAGCACCGGCCAACUACGUGCCAGCAGCCGCGGUAAUACGUAGGGUGCGAGCGUUGUCCGGAAUUACUGGGCGUAAAGAGCUCGUAGG
rnacentral:rRNA from 1 species